ACAGUCUUCUUUAAACCAUGGCAAGGUUAAAACAUGGUCUUAGUACAUUAUACAUCGCAGAUACAUCACAGGCUAUGAAAUGCCAUCUAAUAUAGAUGUUUUGUCGCAAACAAGUGCAGGCGGAGGGAGACACUGCCUGACAACGCUCUCUUAAAAGAGGCGGAGCAAAUUCGCACAUUGUCAGUCUGCCACGGAUGAGAUGGAGUCGGGAGUUACGGAAGGAUUACUUUUUGAUGCUGAGCGACAGUAACAGGAGAUGUCAACGACCAUGUGCAAUCCAUGAUUUGGAAAUGCAAGUACUGUGCAUUCUCAACCAGUCUGCAAGGAAGAAUACUGCUGCAUUAUAAGGAGCGUCACGGACAUCACCGGAGGACUUCAGGCCUUGUCUGCAUUUAUGAAGACUGUUUGAACACAUUUCAAACUCAAGGUGAACUAAAAAAACAUCUUAAAGAGCAUGUAACAGAAGAUCAUAAAAUUGUGACUAAGUUAUGUUGUAAUUUAUGUACGUUCUCAGAGCCAACUAACACAAACCGAUAUGUUGCUCAUCUGAAGACUCAUUUGAGGAACAGAGAAACUGUUGACUGUCCAUUUGCGGACUGUGCUUUCAAAUCUAAUGUAUUGUCAACAUUUACUGCUCAUAGAAGUCGUUGUCAUAAGUUUUCCACUCUUAAUAGUUUAAGACCAGAGCUUUUUGUGCACCAUACAUUUACAAAUGCAGAAGUAGUAGAGGAUUGUGUUCCUGAUACAGAGGCAUCAUCUUCAUUUGAUACUGUACCUGAAUCUGAACCUGCCCUUGAAAAUGGCGAGUCCAUUAAAAAUCAAUUGGCAUCGUUGUUUCUCCGCAUGCAAACAAUUUUACAUGUGUCAAAUUCAGCAUUACAGGAAGUAAUUGAUGAGUUAUUUGACAUCGGAGACUUUGCCUAUCGAAAUAUAAAAAAAAUUAUAGAGAAAGUUUUGGAAGAAAAUAACUGUGCAGUUGAUGCCUCUGUUGUAACAUCAUUGUCUGAUUCAAUACAAUCUCUGAACCCACUCAGAUUUCUAUCAAGGAAGGGGCCUUUGGGCACUGAGCGUAAAAGGCAAUCAUUUUACAGAAAGAACUUUACAGUUAUUGAACCGGUUGAGUAUGUGUUAAAUGCACAAGAAAAACAACAUUCAUUUGUUUAUGUUCCUGUUUUAGAUUUGUUAAAGAAGUUGUUGGAACGAAGUGAGAUUCUUCAGACAUUACAGAGAUCCAGUGAACGGGAAGGUCAUUACAGUUCAUUUCAAGAUGGUGAAUAUUUUAAAGAAAACAAACUGCUCACUGAAGAAUUGGGCGUAGCUCUUGGCUUGUACAUCGACGACUUUGAACUUUGUAAUCCAUUGGGGACCUCAAAAAAGAAACACAAAGUGUGUGGCAUAUAUUGGGUUAUAGCCAACUUACCCGUAAGACUGCGAUCAACAUUAUCAUCAAUUUAUCUAGCUGCAUUGUGUAAAACUGUACAUUUGAAACAAUAUGGCUACAGCAGGGUUUUGGAGCCUCUGAUCCAAGAUCUUAAACAUUUAGAGACGAAAGGUGUAUUUGUACAAAAACUUCAGUCUUAUGUUAAAGGAACCGUUUUGUAUGUAUCUGCAGACAAUUUGGGUGCACACUCUCUUGCUGGAUACCAAGAGUCUUUCAAUGUCGAGAAAUUUUGCAGAUUUUGUUUGGCUAAUCUCAAAGAUAUUCAGAAACAUGAUGUCAGAAGUGGGGCAUUUACUUUGAGAACACCAGAACUGUUUGAUGAAGCUAUUAAUCUGCUUAAUACGACUGAUGCCUCAUGUGUAGAUGGUUUGAAGAGAGACUGUCCUUUAAGCAGACUUGACCACUUUCAUCCUGCAAAAGGGUUUCCACCUGACUUUCUACACGAUCUAUUGGAAGGAAUUGUACCUGUGGAACUAUGCAUGUGUCUUUCAGAUCUUAUUGCUAAAAGGUAUUUCACGCUGAAUGACCUUAAUGAUAAAAUUGCAUCAUUUCCUUUUCAGUUUUAUGACAAAACUAACAGACCUCAGACAAUACAAACAAACUUUUCAAAAAAAGGAACAAUUGGUGGAAAUGGACAUGAGAACUGGGCGCUCCUGAGAUUUCUUCCAUUGUUGGUUGGCCACCAUGUUCCAGAAGGGGAAAAAACUUGGUCAGUGGUCCUUGAACUGAAAGACAUUGUGGAACUCUUAUCAAGCCCCUCAUUCACAACAGAAACUCUGUGCUACCUGCAGGCCAAAAUCUCUGACCACAGACAGUUGCUUUCAGAAGUGUUUCCUGGUACCAAAUUGCGCCCUAAGCAUCAUUAUCUUGAGCAUUAUCCUGUUCUUAUUAAGAAAUACGGUCCAGUAAUUGACUUCUGGACUAUAAGAUUUGAGGCCAAACAUUCUUUCUUUAAGAAAGUAGUUCACAAUGCUGGGAACUUCAAGAACAUCCUGCACACGUUGGCCACAAGACAUCAGCUGAUGUUAGCAUAUUAUUUGGAGAUGCCAAAUGUUUUCAAGCCCAGCAUUGAGACUGGGCGACUAUCAGUUGUGUCUGUGGGCGUCUUCGAUGCUGCUAUCAGAGAGGCUAUAUGGAAUAAGUUUAGAGGUCUGGACUCUGUUUCACUCACCUCCAUUGCUUACUUAAAUGGGACUAAAUACUCCAAAGGAAUGGUGCUCUCUGUAGGACAGACAAGUGGACUGCCAGAUUUUGGGGUGGUACUGGAGAUCUGUGUGGUGGGUGGGUGCAUCUCAUUCAUUACAGAACUGUUCACAGCAGCCUUCGUGGACCAUCUGAGAUGUUACCAGCUUGCCAAAAGGGACCCUGCAUCAACUGUGUUGAUUGAUCCUGAUAGUCUGAAUGACUACACCCCCCUUGCUGCAUACUCUGUUGAAGGAAGGCUACUCAUUACUCCACGGACAUUCAUGUUGCAUUAAGUUAUCAGCGCCAUGUCAACAUUGCUUCUCCGAGUCAUCGUCUCACCUCAGGAAAUUCGACGUGUUACCCUACAAACCAUUCCCCCAUCGGUCGAUGAGCUACGUACAACACUACGCAACAUGUUGGGCCUCCGUGGGAACUUCAUUUUACAGUUUGAAGACCCAGACUUUGGGAACGAGCUCUGCAACUUAACAGACAUGAAGGAUCUGCCAACAGAACGAGCCACUCUGAAAGUUUUAUUUACUGAACCUGUUUCUGACUCGACAUUGGAUACUGCAAGCCUGAGUUCCCUGACAUCAAGCAUUGGUUCCCCGAGUAGUGGUGAUUCACCAGAAUGGCCUGACCCCUUUGUCAUUCCAGAUUUCUCCCAUGAUGUUGAGCUACAGCUGAGAAGAGCAAAUGAUGCCUAUGCCAGUAAUGGAACUGUGAUGACUAUCUCAAAGAGUGUGAAAAGUGAAAUACUGGACAGACUUGCUGAUACCAUAUCCAAAAUCACUGCCUAUCCAAGUAAAGACCACUAUGAAAGUGUUGCCAAAGCUCUCGUUUCAAAACACCCAUGUCUCAGUGAGCCUGGGUCAGGUAAAGGAUGGUUUUGCUGGGUGUUCAGCUUGAGAUUCAAGAUGGGCAAUUACCGACAGAGGAUGAUGGCAGCUGGAUGCCCCGAAGUUGUUGUAAACAAAAGAAAAAGAGGAGAGGGACGCAGCAAGCCAAUCAAGAAAUCAAAAAAGGGAGAGAUUCACUACUUGCCAGAGCCACCUGAAGGACAAACUACUGUCAAGUCAGAGAAGGACCGAGAAACCAUGCUUCUGGAAGUGCAGAAGAGAGAUCCAGAUCUACAGCUCCUUGGGGAAUUGAUGACUGCAACAUUUUCACAGAGAAGACAAGAGAUCAUUGGUGAUGAACCCCUCAUCUCUGCAGUCAUGGACAGAUGGCCUGCUCUCUUCAGUCAGAGACAGAUAAGUGCCGAGUUCAGUAGAAUUGUCACCAAAGACCUGCUGGAGUCAUUCCUGGAUGGACUGGAUGCCUUGGUGCCAAGUCUCCUCGAGCUGUACAAAGCAGCGGCUGCAUCGGGCAGGAGGGUGACCUUGAGCAGUGUUCUGAAUUGUCUUCAAAAGGAAGAUACAAACCAAAACAGAAGAACAGCCACCCUACUUGGUCUUCCCCGAUACCUCUCAGAGGAUUCCUCCGACAUAAUCAGGAUGUGCGAUGUUCAUGGAGAAACCCUGGAUGUCAUAAUGAAAGGAAUGCAGCUUGGGCUGUUGAUUGGACACGAAGGCCCUCUGCAAGAUGAAUUUCCUCUGGAAGUCUUCAGUGUGGUCCUGGUGGUAGAGGAGAAGAUCAUCCUACAUGGCAUCAGUGAUGUUUCCACUGGUUUUGCAAUGUUAAUGGGUGCGAUCUACUGCCUGAAUCUUGAGUACCCCCGUAAAAUGAGGUACUCCUUUGAAUUCGUUCAGAGGGUCAUGAUGAAGAUUCAGCCAGACCAGUGCUCAGCAAGAAUCCAUGGGCUGAGAAAUAAACUGCUCAGAUAUCUCCUGUGAACAAAUGGACAACUCAAGCCGCUGCCAGGAAGCUGCAGUUUUAUGGGACUUGAAUUUUGACUCACACACCCACUUCAUGUGUUCAUUCCUAUGUUUGU